AGAACGAACGCUGGCGGCAUGCCUAACACAUGCAAGUCGAACGGGACCUUCGGGUCUAGUGGCGCACGGGUGCGUAACGCGUGGGGAUCUGCCCUUAGGUACGGAAUAACUCAGGGAAACUUGAGCUAAUACCGUAUAAUGACUUCGGUCCAAAGAUUUAUCGCCUAGGGAUGAACCCGCGUAGGAUUAGCUUGUUGGUGAGGUAAAGGCUCACCAAGGCGACGAUCCUUAGCUGGUCUGAGAGGAUGAUCAGCCACACUGGGACUGAGACACGGCCCAGACUCCUACGGGAGGCAGCAGUGGGGAAUAUUGGACAAUGGGCGAAAGCCUGAUCCAGCAAUGCCGCGUGAGUGAUGAAGGCCUUAGGGUUGUAAAGCUCUUUGCCCGGGAUGAUAAUGACAGUACCGGGAGAAUAAGCUCCGGCUAACUCCGUGCCAGCAGCCGC
rnacentral:rRNA from 1 species